rnacentral:rRNA from 1 species
GACCAGACUCCUACGGGAGGCAGCAGUGGGGAAUAUUGCACAAUGGGGGGAACCCUGAUGCAGCAAUGCCGCGUGGGUGAAGAAGCACUCCGGUGCGUAAAGCCCUGUCAGCAGGGAAGAAAAUGACAGUACCUGGACAAGAAGCCCCGGCUAACUACGUGCCAGCAGCCGCGGUAAUACGUAGGGGGCAAGCGUUAUCCGGAUUUACUGGGUGUAAAGGGAGCGUAGACGGUGAGACAAGUCUGAAGUGAAAGCCCGGGGCUCAACCCCGGGACUGCUUUGGAAACUGCCUGACUGGAGUGCUGGAGAGGCAAGCGGAAUUCCUAGUGUAGCGGUGAAAUGCGUAGAUAUUAGGAAGAACACCAGUGGCGAAGGCGGCUUGCUGGACAGUAACUGACGUUGAGGCUCGAAAGCGUGGGGAGCAAACAGGAUUAGAUACCCGGGUAAGA